rnacentral:misc_RNA from 1 species
UUUCCGUAUGUGAACCUGCGGAAGGAUCAUUAAAGAAUUUUAGGGUUGAUACUUGUAGGGACGGACCUUCAUUUUCUAACUCUGUGCAUAUAUUGGCGGGGCUUGGUGAAGGAAGAAAUGGGUGUUAAGAACCUAGAGCUUUUUCUUUGCCUUGUCCUGCGGAUCAUUUUUUAAAACAGUCAAUGAAUGUAAUCAAAUCUAACGAUAUAAUAAAACUUUCAACAACGGAUCUCUUGGCUCUC